GAAUGAGACUGGGGCCUAAUAAAAAGGAGCAUCUAUAUGGGAGCUCAAAUGGGCUGUACCUUGUAGCAUUCUGAGGACAGGCCUGAAUUCUGAGAAGGGAAAGUGGUAAAAGUAUUGUCCAUUCCUUUUUAAGUUGGUGGCUGAGCUUGGUGAAGUGUGUUUUUAAAAGACCUUCAGUCUGUUCUACUUUUCCUGAAGACUGAGGACUGUAAGGGAUAUAAAGGUUUCACUGAAUACCAAGAGCCUGAAAAACUGCUUGGCUGAUUUGACUAAUAAAGGCUGGUUUGUUAUCAGACUGUAUAGAGGUGGGAAGGCUAAACUGAGGAAUUAUGUCUGACAGAAGGGAAGAAAUGACUGCGGUGGCCUUCUCAGACCCUGUAGGAAAGGCCUCUACCUAUCCAGUGAAAGUGUCUACUUAGACUAAGAGGUAUUUUAGUUUUUGUGACUUGGGGCAUGUUGAGUAAAGCUAAUUUGCCAGUCCUGGGCGGGGGCAAAUCCCCGAGCUUGAUGUGUAGGGAAGGGAGGGGGCCUGAAUAAUCCCUGGGAAGUAGUAGAAUAGCAGAUGCAACACUGAGAAGUUAUUUUCUUGAGGAUAGAUUUCUACGACGGAAAGGAAAUGAGAGGUCCUAAGAGGCGGGCUAGUGGCUUGUACUAUAGCAUAGCCUGCCUUUGCUGGUGUGUGGCGAUUAGGCCUGGUGGAACUGCCAUCAAAAAAUCAAGUGUGAUCAGGGGCUUCCGAGGCGAUCGAGCAACGUCAGUCUUCAGCUGCUAAGCCGAGAAGAUCUGGGAAGGAGUCAGUCAGAGAGCCUUGGGCCAGAGUUCCAGGGGCUCUGGGAGUGGCUGCCAGGUGAGUUGAACAGUCCGAUUUCCAGUGGGGUCCCCCACAGAUGGGACACGGCUUAGGAGGAAUCCCGGGCUGCGGGCAUUCCUUGGCCUGGUGGCCAGAUUUCUGGCACUUGUAGCAAGCGCCUGGGGGAGGCAGUUCUGGAGGAAUGCCUGGCCACUGCGGUUUAGGCGUUUGGAAGUUCUUGUGUGCUGGAGAUGUGGCUGGGGUUUGUCUCACAGUGGAGGCAAGGAAUUGCAACUCAGAAAUAUGUUGCUAGUUGGCUGCCUAUACUCUAUUAUUGUACACCUUGAAGGUGAGGUUAAUUAAGUCCUGUUGUGGGGUUUGAGGGCCGGAAUUUAAUUUUUGGAGUUUUAUUUAAUGUUGGGAGCAGAUUGGGUAAUAAAAUGUAUAUUGAGAAUAAGACGGCCUUUUGACCUUUUAGGGUCUAGGGCUGUAAAACGUCUCAGGGUUGCUGCCAAACGAGUCAGGAACUGGGCUGGAUUUUUAUAUUUGAUGAGAAAGAGCCUAAACGCUAUCUGAUCUGGAAUAAAGAAAAAGGAGCAUUGACCUUGACUAUGACUUUAGCUCCAGCCACCUUUUUAAGAGUAAAUUGCUGGGCAGGUGGGGGAGGGCUAGUCAUGGAACGAAACUGUAAGCUGGACCAGGUGUGAGGAGGGGAGGUGAUAAAAGGAUUAUAGGGUGGAGGAGCAGAGGCUGAGGAAGAAUUGGGACCUAGCUCGGCCUGGUGAGGAGGGGAGAGGUCAGAUAGGUCUGUAGAAAAUGAAGAUUAGAAAGACUCAGUGAUGCUUGGGGUUGGGACUGAGGGGACAGGUGGGAGGGAAAGAAGGAAGAUUUGGGACGAGUUGCAUUGGGAACAGAGGCUAGGGAGUGACUGAUGUGUAAAAGAAUGCCUGGAUGUCAGGCACCUCAGACCAUUUGCCCAUUUUACGACAAGAAUUAUUUAAAUCUUGUAGGAUGGAAAAAAUGGAAAUGCCGUUUUCUGGCUAUUUGGAACUACUGUCGAGUUUGUAUUGGGGUCAAGCGGCAUUGCAGAAGAAAAUAAGGCAUUUAGGUUUUAGGUCAGGUGUGAGUUGAAGAGGUUUUAAGUUCUUGAGAACACAGGCUAAGGGAGAAGAAGGAGGAAUGGAGGGUGGAAAUUUGCCCAUAGUGAAGGAAGCAAGCCCAGAGAAAAGAGAGAGUAGAGACACGGAGGGAAGGGGUUCGGGGGUUCUUACCCUCCAGAAAAAUGGGAAAGGGGUUGGGGUGUGGAAAUAAGGGGUCAGGGCACAGAGAUAAGAGGUGGGGCAUGGAAAUAAGGGAUCAGGGCAAAGAGAUAAGAGGUCGGGGCAUGGAAAUAAGGGAUCAGGGUGCAGAGUUAAGAGGUUGGGGCAUGGAAAUAAGGGAUUGGGGCACAGAGAUAAGAGGUCAGGGUGUGGAAAUAAGGGAUUGGGGGUUCCUGACCCCUAGAAAAGUGGGACUUGCCGCUAAGGUUAAAGGAGAAGAGGUUGAGGGGUUCUUGCCCCUCCCCCAGAAAAGCAGAGAAGGGGUAGAGACAAGGAGAGAAGGGGUUGGGGUACUUGCCCUUCCCCCAGAAAAGCAGGACUUGCCACUAAGGGUGAAGGACCAAGGCAGGCGUCCCUGCAUGGUCUGACACCUCUGAAACGUGGGUGAAUAAUCAGAGAGGCAUCCCUGCAAUGAUUAAACACCAAGGGAAGGCUGCCUUCCCAGUCCGUGACCGGCGCCGGAGUUUUGGGUCCAUGGAUAAAACGUGUCUCCUUUGUCUCUACCAGAAAAUGAAAGGAAUUGAAAUUAAGAGAAGGCAGAGAUUGAAGUGUGGCGCCAAGAUUGAAAGGAGAAAGAGGUUGAGGGAUAGUGAGGGAGGUUGGAGAAGAGAGUAAAAAGAGGCCGCUUACUGGAUUUGAAAUUGGUGAGAUGUUUCUUGGGCUGGUCGGUCUGAGGACCUGAGGUCGUAGGUGGGUCUUUCUCAACAGAGCAAAGAGCAGGAGGACAGGGGAUUGAUCUCCCACAAGAGGUCCCCCGAUCCGAGUCACGGUACCAAAUUUCAUGCGUGUCCGUGUGAAGAGACCACCAAACAGGCUUUGUGUGAGCAAUAAAGAUAUUAAUCACCUGGGUGCAGGCG
rnacentral:lncRNA from 10 species